rnacentral:rRNA from 1 species
GAUGAACGCUAGCGGCAGGCCUAACACAUGCAAGUCGAGGGGCAGCACGGUGUAGCAAUACACUGGUGGCGACCGGCGCACGGGUGCGUAACGCGUAUGCAACCUACCCAUAACAGGGGGAUAACACUGAGAAAUUGGUACUAAUACCCCAUAACAUCAGGACCGGCAUCGGUUUUGGUUGAAAACUCCGGUGGUUAUGGAUGGGCAUGCGUUGUAUUAGCUGGUUGGUGAGGUAACGGCUCACCAAGGCAACGAUACAUAGGGGGACUGAGAGGUUAACCCCCCACAUUGGUACUGAGACACGGACCAAACUCCUACGGGAGGCAGCAGUGAGGAAUAUUGGUCAAUGGACGCAAGUCUGAACCAGCCAUGCCGCGUGCAGGAAGACGGCUCUAUGAGUUGUAAACUGCUUUUGUACGAGGGUAAACGCUCUUACGUGUAAGAGCCUGAAAGUAUCGUACGAAUAAGGAUCGGCUAACUCCGUG